rnacentral:rRNA from 1 species
GGGACUGAGACACGGCCCAGAUUCCUACGGGAGGCAGCAGUGGGGAAUAUUGGACAAUGGGCGCAAGCCUGAUCCAGCCAUGCCGCGUGUGUGAAGAAGGCCUUUUGGUUGUAAAGCACUUUAAGCGAGGAGGAGGCUACUUGGAUUAAUACUCUAGGAUAGUGGACGUUACUCGCAGAAUAAGCACCGGCUAACUCUGUGCCAGCAGCCGCGGUAAUACAGAGGGUGCGAGCGUUAAUCGGAUUUACUGGGCGUAAAGCGUGCGUAGGCGGCUUCUUAAGUCGGAUGUGAAAUCCCUGAGCUUAACUUAGGAAUUGCAUUCGAUACUGGGAAGCUAGAGUAUGGGAGAGGAUGGUAGAAUUCCAGGUGUAGCGGUGAAAUGCGUAGAGAUCUGGAGGAAUACCGAUGGCGAAGGCAGCCAUCUGGCCUAAUACUGACGCUGAGGUACGAAAGCAUGGGGAGCAAACAGGAUUAGAUACCCUGGUAGUCCAUGCCGUAAACGAUGUCUACUAGCCGUUGGGGCCUUUGAGGCUUUAGUGGCGCAGCUAACGCGAUAAGUAGACCGCCUGGGGAGUACGGUCGCAAGACUAAAACUCAAAUGAAUUGACGGGGGCCCGCACAAGCGGUGGAGCAUGUGGUUUAAUUCGAUGCAACGCGAAGAACCUUACCUGGUCUUGACAUAGUAAGAACUUUCCAGAGAUGGAUUGGUGCCUUCGGGAACUUACAUACAGGUGCUGCAUGGCUGUCGUCAGCUCGUGUCGUGAGAUGUUGGGUUAAGUCCCGCAACGAGCGCAACCCUUUUCCUUAUUUGCCAGCGGGUUAAGCCGGGAACUUUAAGGAUACUGCCAGUGACAAACUGGAGGAAGGCGGGGACGACGUCAAGUCAUCAUGGCCCUUACGACCAGGGCUACACACGUGCUACAAUGGUCGGUACAAAGGGUUGCUACCUAGCGAUAGGAUGCUAAUCUCAAAAAGCCGAUCGUAGUCCGGAUUGGAGUCUGCAACUCGACUCCAUGAAGUCGGAAUCGCUAGUAAUCGCGGAUCAGAAUGCCGCGGUGAAUACGUUCCCGGGCCUUGUACACACCGCCCGUCACACCAUGGGAAUUUGUUGCACCAGAAGUAGGUAGUCUAACCGCAAGGAGGACGC